AGGUUUUUGGACCAUCGACCACACUUCUCGGGUCCUCUAGCUGCUCUACAGCACCCUGCCUAAGACAAGAUGAGGAACGAUGCAUUCCAUUCAAGACAAGGUCUCUCAUUAGACAUGCUGCUUUCACCAUGGCCAAGAGCACUGGGACAAUGCAGGAUCUGCCUCUGCUGAAAAUCAUCUUCAAAUAUGGCUGCCACUUCUGGGACUUUUCUGCUUCUCAGCUCCCACCAGUUACAGAGGGUGAUCAAAGCAGGGGAGGCUUUUUUGAAUCAGGCUCCAUGAAGCUAUGUGCCAUCACUGGCAGCUGAUAAAGAUGCAUUUUUUCAAGGUUGGAAAUCACAGACCAAGCAAGUUUCUUCGGUUAUAAAGACAAGUCAGGCAGGACUGUAAAGUAAGGAAAUCAAGACGAUCAAGAUGAUCCUCCUAAAACUGUUUAUGUAUCAUAUUGACUUCCACCAAGAAAAUUAAUGAACCAGAAAAAUUCUUGGGACAUGAUAAAAGUCCUCUCUAGAAAUAUCAUCUCCAUGCAAAAAUCCAAACAAUAUUUUUUGUUUUGCAGAAGAUCUGUAUACAGUCAAGAAAUUAACACUAAUUUUUGUUGAAGUCAGCAUAAUCUUCAAACUUCAGUGUGAUGUUAGCUGCUACCUGAAAGGGAUGAGAAAUACUUGUAAUACUGAGCAAAUGAAAAAGAUCUUGUAUAAAUUCCUGAGGAAGUGUCAACAAACAUGCAAUGGAAUUACUGCUGAUAGACACAGGUUUCCUGGGCAACCUGGAUACUUUCAUAAUAACUUUUUGCAAAAGACUGAAAGUUGAGCUAUUGUUCUACAUCAACACAUCUGUUUUUAGAAGCAAGACUUCUACAUUUGCUGAUUGCACAAAGAAUGGCAACGUGCUAGGAAGUCCUCACAAGAGCAGGUUUCAUCAGCAGUUAGAGCAACACACUAUGAAAAUCAGCUAUUUCUUCUUGAUGGUGUCUGAAGUCUUUGGGAAAAUAUUUUGUUGUGAACUGACCUUUGUUUUUAACUGAUGUUUGUCAAUUUUUUAUUCAUUGAAAUAGAAAACUUUCAAGUCUCCUUACUCUUUAGAAUCAAUUUUGCCUCUACAAGGAAGAUGAACUCAGGAACUGGAGAGAGUCCAGG